UGGGGGAUAUUGCACAAUGGGCGAAAGCCUGAUGCAGCGACGCCGCGUGGGGGAUGAAGGCCUUCGGGUUGUAAACUUCUUUUGCUCUGAACAAGGCGCACCAUGGGGUGUGUUGAGUGUAGGGGUUGAUUAGCGCCGGCUAACUACGUGCCAGCAGCCGCGGUAAUACGUAGGGCGCGAGCGUUGUCCGGAAUUAUUGGGCGUAAAGGGCUUGUAGGUGGCUGGUUGCGUCUGUCGUGAAAGCUCAUGGCUUAACUGUGGGUUUGCGGUGGGUACGGGCUGGCUUGGGUGCAGUAGGGGAGGCUGGAAUUCCUGGUGUAGCGGUGGAAUGCGCAGAUAUCAGGAGGAAUACCGGUGGCGAAGGCGGGUCUCUGGGCUGUUACUGACACUGAGGAGCGAAAGCAUGGGGAGCGAACAGG
rnacentral:rRNA from 1 species